UACGUAGGGGGCAAGCGUUGUCCGGAAUUAUUGGGCGUAAAGAGCGCGUAGGCGGUCCGAUAAGUCGGCUGUGAAAGUCAAGGGCUCAACCCUUGGAAGCCGGCCGAUACUGUCGGACUAGAGUCCGGAAGAGGCGAGUGGAAUUCCCGGUGUAGCGGUGAAAUGCGCAGAUAUCAGGAAGAACACCCGUGGCGAAGGCGGCUCUCUGGGACGGUACUGACGCUGAGACGCGAAAGCGUGGGGAGCGAACAGG
rnacentral:rRNA from 1 species